UGGGAGCAGGAUCGGGACCAAUGCCGGGUGCUCGAUGCCCGGGGCCGGGGCCGUGGCCGCUCGGCCGUUGGAGGUCGGUACGGCCAGUCCCGGGACUGCUGCGGGGGCCGGCCCAGCCCGGGUCGGCCCGGUGGAAUUGCGGGGCGGGCGCUGCGGGACCCUUCCCGCGCCCUGCUCGGACCGCACAGGGCAGAGGCGCGGCGGGGCCGGACAUCCGUGCGGCCGCCCCGAUGCCCCCACCGGAGGCCGGGAGCGGCCGGGAUCGAUGUCAAAAGCUGAAGUGCUCUAACUUCAUGUGCCAAAGCAGAACCUAUUUCUCCUGCCUCUGCCCUGCACGCAGCAGUCAUCCUUGCCCAUGGUGCUGUACAGCAGGUGUUGCUGUGGGAGAGCUUAGCUGCUGGAAGACAAGAGAGUUCCUGCUCACCUCCUCAAGCAUCAAGUUGUGUCAGCUGGGGUGACUGGAGAAGCCCAUCUCCUUCCCAUAUCCUCUGAGACCAGUUUGCUUGUAAGGAGAUUGAAAGUAAGGAAAUCUCACCAGGAGGAGCACCCACAUGCAGCCAUUCCGGAGGAUAUACAAAGGCUGGAGGAUGACUGAAACGCCGUAACGAGUUUUCCACAAAAAAACUCAGUGAAGCUUCAGAAAUCUCUACUGGCUCAUGCUGGUUCUGAGACAUGUCCAAGCUGAUGGUCACGUAAGAGUCCUUAUGGCUCCUUUUGAAGGUCCGAAGGCUUUGUCUUCCAGCGGAAGAGCUUUUCUGGGCAUUAUUUGUGCUGGACUGACCUUGAAAUAAAACUGUUGCUAAGAACUGACAACAGAGUAGGUAUGACAGCUCUGUCAAGGAAUGGAUAAUCUCCCAUCUUUAAAUACACUUUCUAUUUAUGUUGGCAGUGUACGGACUUCUCAGGAUUUUACCUACUAUCCCAGACUAAUACUUCAUAAGUGCCACCAAGGAAACUUCUCAACUUCUCUGCAUAUCUCUUUCUAUUUCAAAACUUCCUAACUGAAUAAUGGGAGUUGGCGGAUACAUCGCUGCCUGUUGAAGCUCACAGCUGAAGAAUGUUCAAAAGGAAAUGAAAAUAUGUGGAAAGUAUUUUUUUACUAUCAAACAGACCUGGAAAUUGUAUCAACUGAGGGGAUAUACCAAUUGCUCCUGCAGCUUAAUUUUUCAUGGGAGUCAGCAAACAUAUAAAACAGAUACACUCACCCUUCUAACUGACAACACUUCCCAAAGAUUCACUCUCCAGCCCUUGGAGCCUGCUUCACCAGCCCCGGGAGCAUGGCCAUGGUGUGGGAGUUCUGUUUCCUUGUGCACUGACUUGGGCUGAGUUUGGGCAUUUCACAUUCCUACUGGCUUGGAAGCUUUUUUCCAAAGCAUGUUCUGCAAGGAAAGAGCUUGGAGGCGGCCGAUCGCAGUUGUCCAGGCCCAAGUCUCCUGGUGAUCUCCCUCCACGUGCUCUGCCGGCUUUCCUUUCUGCGGCGAGUGUCCAGCAGCAGCUGGGAAGACAGGAGAUAAUGGGAGAAGGUCUGCCGUCUUCUGGCUGGAGUGUUUUUUAUACCCUGUAUUAUAAGGAAACCCACACACGGGGAAAGCAAGAAAGAAGUAAAUGGAAAACAAACCACAGACCCAGCCAUUAGUCCUUCUGGGGAAAGCAUGGCCUGGGCUGCAUUCUUCAGCAUCUAGACCCAUUGUGGGAUACACCAGGUGAAAAUGGACAGCAGAGUACUAAAGCAAAGAGGGAGCAAAGAUUAACAUGGGGACUUGGUGGGCUAAGUAUAGGCAAUUCUUCCCUUCUCCAGUGACUUCUAGAAAUGGUGGGGGGAAUUCUGCAGCCAAUAUGAUUUGGUUGAUACGCAAAAUAUAACGUAGAGAUCUGACAGUAGGGAUUGCAGGUAGAAGAUUAGGAAUUCUCUGGCACAGCUGUCAUAUUAUACUAAGCCUGUUACUUCUCUGUAAUCCUAAUUGAUGCUCUCUCUAUUCUGAGCCAGGUUCUCUGGUCGGCCAUCAUUCCGGGGAGUCUGCUGCUGCUCUCACACUGGAGCCUGUUCUUUUGUGCCUUUCCAUGAGGAGCAGCUGAAAUCAUGAGUUAAAUGUUGCUGAUAUUAGAGAGGACUCCUGGCAUCUGCCCCAGACAGAGAAAUCAACAUGUAAUUCAUUAAAGAUACCCAUACCUAUACUGCAAACACGUGUGUCCCAGAUGGUGCCAGUUCCCAUCAGAUUCCCAUAAGAGGGAGCAGGAAGGGUCCAUCCCUACUGAAUGCAGACCCCUGCCCUGAUGGAACCACCCUGGCUCAUCUCCCUGCAGCCUGGCAGAGAUGCUCACAGACCUCUCCCAACUUGGUCUACAUUUUGACCCCAAACUGCCAAGGAAGGUACCAAAUCAAUGUAUUUUUUGGAAGGGAAGGAUGUGGCCUGAGAUCUGGUGUCUCAAGACUAUGCUCCUUGGACAGUGCUGAUCUAGACAUUGUCUUACUCGCAGCAUUUUUCAAAUUGUGUGAUUUCCUACAGUUUGCAACUACACACAGUAGCUAGAAGUUAUGACAUGUACCUGACUUUAAAGGACACUGUCAUUUAGAAAUGCUAUGUACAUGUUCUGCAAAUGUUGUCAUAACCUAUGUUUUAUAGUCUUAGACUGCAAUUAAUGGGGACAAAAAUGGUUCGUAAUGGUUUGUAGUCUGAGAAUACUAGAAUAGUUUAGGUCUGUAUUUUUUUUCUAAAUAUAGAAUUUUAUAUUUACUCAAAAUAGAUCUGUUUGCAGGUUGUGAAGUAUUUAAUACAGAACACAAGAUAAAUGCAGUGAGUAGAUCUUGACUUGCAUCAGGUAAUCAAAGCAGGCAGAAAGGGAGGCAAGUGCAGUAUGUCGGACAGUGGGUCUUUAACCAUGCAGAAAGGUGCAACAGAUCAGAAAGUGUCAUUAUUGUUUCUAUUCCUCUGUGGUCUGCAAAGUGCUGGGAGCAGCACCUUGAAGCAGGGAGUGGGGCUGUGUGGGGCCAGGCUUUCCUCCCUAUAGGCCAUGGACCUCCGAGGCAGCUCAGCGGACCAGUGCAAGGCUUCCAUGCCACCUUGCUGGAGGAGCGGGACAAUCCCGUGUCCCCCAGAGCCCCCACAGGGAUGGAGUCUGCAGGGGCUUGUGCCCAGCUGGGGCCCAGCGUGCAGCAGGGGGGGGUGCUGAGCUCUCAGCGGGUGGUGCUGGCACUGGGGGCAGAGCUGGGCUCCCGCUCUCCUGCAGCAAAGGCACUGCUGGGUGCAGCUCUGGAGACUGGCACUGAUGCACUUGCAUUGCACGGCCAUCACUUUCUCAAAUAGAUAUGUCACUUAUGUUUUCCUUAAUUAAAAUUUCUAUUUUAAAUUUCUAAAGGCUAGUCCUGCCUCUUCACAUGCCUCCCUGAACAUAUGUCUGACCAUGGAGCUGUGUGGUGGCUGUUGUCAGAACCCAGGAAUGCAGCCUCAGGAACAAAGCCCUGUGCAGGCAAAUUUGGCAGAACCUGGGCAGUGUCUGGAGCAGCAGUUAGGAAUCUGGGAUUGGGAGCUGGCCACGCUGUUAUUGACUGGUCUUGCAUUCCCAAGAGGACAAAUCAGGGCCUUGAUUGCCAGGUUUGCUGUUUUAAAAAGCCUUUGCUUUAAUUAAUGUACAGCCUAAGUGUCAUUGUUCUCUUCUCCAUUCUGGAUUGUUUUUCAGAAAACAAGACCAGUUUAGGAAAUUUAAAUUUCUCCUAAAAUAAAAAUUUUAUCUAGAGAAGUCCCUCUGUGCUUCCAUUCUUAGUAUAAACCAAAUUUAUUUACUUCUGUAGUUGAAAUUGCAUUACUAAAGAACAUAAAGUUUCUUUAAUGUUGUUUGAUGUUCUUUGUCUGGUUUUGAAUGGAAGUUGGGAUUAUGUGACCAUCUUGUGGCUGUAACACUUGUCAGUUCAUUUAAAUUAAUAUUUUAGUUUCUUAUUUAUUAUCGCAAGGUUUAUUGGUUUGUUAGAAGUAAUACCCAAAUUUGUGAUGCUGAGAAGGAAAAGCUGCAGCAUGAGCCCACCUGGAAUUCUUGGCAUAGGAGAAAUGCAUUGGGACCAACCAUGGAUGGGCAGGUUCCAGCGCUCCAGUGGUCUGUCUGUCUGUGUGUCUAUUUGUGUGUCUCAUGAUUUUCAGGUUGCUUUUCAUAUCCUGAUGCAACUGAAAAGUCAGCCUUUUUUUAGAAAAGUGUAGAAUCUAAUGAGCAGUGUGUCUGAAAACCUCAGCUGUUCCCAAGACACAGGUGAGUGAUACAAACCUGGCACAAGCAGGUGACAUGUGGAGAUGGGUGUCUUGGAAAUAAAACAUGAAAGGAAUCACACAGUGAUCUAGGGUGGGCAGUUCACAGGGCCAGAGAGUUGGAGACUUUUACAAAACCACCUUGUUCUUCACCUGGUGCCACUGGGCUUCAGUUCACAAAGAAAGUAGCUGGAAAAAUUAGCCAGAAAUAGUUGACCUUUCAAAAGGCCUCUAAAAUACAAUUACCUGAUGUUCACCGAAGUGGUUGAUGUGCUUCCCACUCUAAAUGAUUUUUUAGAUUCACCCAUGUGUGAAUAGCAGUCUGAUUUUAUGGAAGAGGGAAAUGGAGGAAAGAAACUUCAGAAAGGAGAGCAAUACGCCAGGGAAUUUUACUGGUUGUUUGCUUCAGGGGAAGAAAAGGGCAAAUAGAUGCAGCCACCUCAAAGUAGCCUUUUGACUUUGAACUUUAAAGGAACAUGGGAGAGCUCUGAGGUAUUGACAGCACUCGACAGAAGCUGUUCCAUGGCGAUAGGUAGGAAAUUUAGGAUCCAGCGGAAUUUGCUUUCUUAGCCAGAUGACAAAUUCUUUUUUUCCCCCCCAGUACAGCAAAAUUAUUACAGCCCCCAUUUUCCUUACUGCCUUUUCUUUCCUUCUGCCCUGGGUUGUCUGGUGCAGGAGAUCCCAUGCCUGUGUGGCCACAGUGCUCAUGCUGGGAGCUGGCCAUGCCCCCUCUGCAGAGUUUCAGCUCUGACCCUGCACCAAAGCAAGAGAGUUAUCUGGGGCUGCAAUCUCUAGUGGGCUUUAGGCAAAAUACUUUUCUAAGGAAAUUAUUUCUAUGGUUGGCACAAAAGUGCCUCUACCGUGCACCUUUCCAGUGGCGGCUGUGCCCAGGUGCACACAGCAGUCUGGCUUCAAUAGUUCACCCUUCUCUUCACUGCCCCCCUGCUCUGAUCCCCCCAGAAAUGAGGGGCAAAGUGGGGGCAGAGACCACUCCCCAUUGUGGGAAAGCAGCAGCAUUCAAAAGCCCAAAGACUUUUUGAAACCAGGGAAUGGGAUUUCCACAUAUGAUGAGAGAGCAUAUUGUGCAAUAGAAACUACAUUUGUAUGGAAGAAAAUUAUUUUCAAUACCUUGGAACUUGAAGACUUCCAUGAACAAAAGCAAGUGACAAUUCCCUUCCCCAUCUGCAUUAUCUGACAAAACAAACAAGGUCCCUGAGACAGGUCAGACAAGAGCAUCAAUGUGGCAGUUGUAGCGCUGAAGCACUUUUCAUUUGGUCAAGUAUCUAAGUAUCUUUGUGGGGAAAAAUCCCCGAAGUUUUAACUUUGGAUCCAAAGCAUUAGACUUGCGAUUCCACAGAAUUUUGUGACUUUGGAAAUGUUCUAUUGUUUUUCAGUAUAAGCUCAUGAACCUGGAAUGAAGUUGUCCCUUGGGGACAAAACAAAACAGAUGAAAAAUAAAUGCUCGUGUCAGGUCUGGAGACCAAGGGGGUCCUGAGCCAUGGUCUUUAAUGUGUUUCUUUUCCAUCAAGUUCAGGAGCAACUUUGAGCAGGAUUUGCUGCAGUUGAGGGAGACAGAAAAAAAAGCUCAUAUCAAAAAUAAAAGAAGAACCCUGAAUAAGAUUUUUCAAAAAGCAGUUUAUUUUCCUAUAUAAGACAUCCAGAUCCAAAAGUGAAUGGUGAGUCAGGAGUGCACUCAGGUACAUGGUUCCAACAGCAGCUCCCAGGCUCCUCUGACUGGGGCUCUGCUGGAAGGCAAGUCAACUCGAGCUCACAGCAGCAUAAACAUGGGAUGAUGCGGAGCUCCUCAGGCUUCUGCCUCCUCCUUUUGGAGGCCACACAAUGUGCACGUCGUGUUCCUGAAUUCAUGCCUCUUCUGGCAAUUUGUUUGCCUGAUUCUUAAAUGUCUGUGUUCAUCUUGGUCUACACCAGUGCCCAGAGCUCUGCCAAGCUGCCAGCAGCUUGCUGAGACCAUGGACAGAUGCCUCAGCUUCCCACUGAGACUGCGCCCAUGUCUCUGCCUCCCUGCCUGUUGCCAGCUGAUCCCAAAGGAGCUGAGGAGCUGCCAGGAGGAUAUCAAGAGUGCAGCCACACAGAAAUGCACUCCCCAUGUUCUAAGUGCGGUGUGCUUAGGAGCUAACCCUAGCAGAGAGACUGAAAGAUGAGAGUUUCUCCCGGGGCCUGCUUUUAACUCUCCAUGGCCCUGUUUGGGAACAGGCUGUAGUCACUACAUGCCUUUAGCUUGAACUUGCACUUCAUCAGUCUGGGAGGAAGAAUGGAAGAAAUGUUCUGAGAGAAAAUUCCAUUUAUGUCUUCUGCCACCUGCUAAUGGCAUAUGUGAGCUGCUGCGUGCCAGUAGCCGAUGGCAAAGAUAACAUCACUGUGGAGAAAAUUGUGCAGUGCUGAAAAUGAGACUCAUGUUCCAGAUGACCCGAUAGUUCAGCUCCUGCUGGGGCCGGGUGUGGGGCCAAGCUUUGCUCACCAACACUCACACAGACACAUUCAGUGUGAUGGCCUUGUUGGAAUCCCAGAAAUUAAAUUUUUUAGGGCAGGCAAAAGGAUAAAAGCUGAAGAGCUUCUGUUCACAUCCAGCCCCAAAUCAGGCUUUUCUGCAUAUACCUCCAGCCUAAUUACUAUGAGCCAGAGCAAGGGAGGCUGACAGGUGGGAACAGCUGUCAAAGUGCCGGGUAAAGCUACUGGUCUGAAAACUGACAUAAUGGCAGAGUAGACAUGGUGGGCAGCUCUUUAGAAGUAAACAUCCAUUUACAAUGGGAUUGUAGAAAUAUUUGAAGCACUUAACAGCAAGAUCCUUGUUGCUUUUCACAUUCCUGCUGCCUGCAGUUUUUGCUCAGUGAGGGAAUUCAUAGUGUUUUGUGUGAACCAAGAAGUAAUUGUGAGCAACUACUUAAAUAGCCCUAAUUAUGUUUGGAGAAGGCUGGUCCCUGAAAGCAGCUAGGAUCUGUGAAUAAACAUAUUGUCACAGGUGACCACCUGCUCUAUGCAUAUGGAUCUAAAAAAAAGCCACUUUGCUAAGUUUAAAUACCUCAAAGAAAAGCUGAGCAGACCCCAGACACCAGCAGCCAUGCCUGCCAAAGCAGCAUUGCAUGGGGCUCAGCACGGGGAGCAUGGCUCGGGGCCUUGCGACCACAGCACAUUCCACCAGCCCGAGGUGUCCUCUUGGGGGGCCAGGGCCUUUAAAUACCCUAUGGACAGAGAAAGGUAAAGAGACUGGGUCCCCUGAAUGGGGGAUGGACAAGCCUAGAGGCUUACCUUGCUUAAUCCUUGGGCAAACACAGUCAGUGUCUGCUGAGUCCAGCAGCUGCUCCCACCUGCACCAGCACCAACCCCACCUGUGCCAGCACUGCCCGGCACAGCCGGCCCAGAGCUCCCAGGGGACAGAGGGCACCUGCUCACAGCCUGGAACCUCCUGGGAGUGGAGAGCACCUGUUCUUCCAGCUUGGCUGUGGCCCUUAGCAGAAUUUUUGAAAGAGAAAGUCUGUGACAGAGCAAAUGUGAAGCUAUUGAACAUGUUCAGCCCUUCAGCAUAGGGGUUGAAGAGUUCACAGUGACGGCUGAGAUAAGGCCAAGCCUGGUGGUGGGCCCCAAGCUGCCCCUGCUCCACCGGCCUCCUCCUCCUCCUGCAGUGAGCACCCAGCUGCCUCACCCCACCAUUAACCACAUCUAGCUUCAGCACAACUUAACAGCAUAGAAUUAUAAUAUCUUAUGACACGGAAAUGGGUCAGAAACAAACUCUGUGCCUUUCUGUAUUAACCUGGUGGUUCUUUUAACAGCUAGAAAAAAUUUCUUAGUAUUUGUGGUAAUCAGUCACAUUUCUUUCCUUUUUGUUCUGUUUUGAUCACUGACUGCUUUCAGCACUCCUCGUGCAUGGCUUUGCUCAGGGCUUGUGCAUUUCUUCACAACCAGCUCCUGUUACUGCAAUACAUUGAAGUCAGUGCUAGUGAUGGUCACUGUGCAGGGCUGUGCUGAGUCAGCAGCUGCUGGAAGCCCUGUUCAGCAUUUUCCCUCCAGGGCUAGCAAUGUCCCAAAGAGCCACGGCAGGAAACAAGAUGGCUACAGCAUCACUCAUCUCAGUUUAAUUUACUGUCAGAUUAAAUAAAUUUUUUAAUCCCCUGUGAUAAAAAUCUUUGUGAUCUCUGUAGUGGAUAAAGAUAUUUGGUCCGGCCAAGUAGCCAGUUUUAAACCAGGCAGUAUAAACUCCUUUUUCACAAAGGCAGGUGAUUUUGUAAUCACUGUAUAUGCUAUAUCCCACCAGGAAAUUGUUAUUCUAUAACAUCAGCUGCAACACUAAAUUUGCUUAGGAUUUCGUUGGAAUAGUUCGAGCUUUUGGUUUGCUUCAUUACCACAUCAGAAAGCUGAGUUUCUCUACUAUGUGAACAAAAGAGAUGAGAGCAGCAUAUUUUACAAGAAUGAUGAGCAAGCAUCUUCAGUUAGAUGAAGAUGGGAAGUCUUGUGGUCAGACACCCACUUAAGAGACAUAAAACUUAGAUUGUUUCCACUACUGAACAGAUUUUUUAAUAUUAUCUUUAAGCCCCAUCUUCCCCAUUUAGGACUUUGUGAGGUUCAAGCAAUUCAUAUUUCCUAAAUUGAUUUCUCACUGCCUCCUAUAAUCAUUCUGGCUGGGUAGGUUUGUUCUUUUGCAACAACCAGAUUUAAAUAUGAGCCAACCUGGAAGAAAUAAGUAGCACAGGAUGUAUAAGCUCUCACUGAGAGAAUACCCUCUAGUGCACCUAUUUAAAGAAUUUAUGUUUAAUUAUGGUGUUACGAGCACUGGCCACGUGCAAGGAAAGCAUCGCUUUCCUCAGCUGACACAGAUCUGUUCAGCUCAGAAAAGCCAGGAUACAGCAGAAAAUGUUGUGAUGAUAUCCAUUCUCCUCUUGGGCUGGGAUAUGCAAAGCUCCUCUCAGGAACGACUAAGUGCUUUCCUCCUGGUGUGUUACAGCAGCUUUCCAAGGACCAACCCAUGGGUACACAAGAACUCAUAAGACAAACACCUUGAGCUUCUAGACUCCUAACUUAUUCCCAGGAAACUUCAUUACUGACAUACACAGUGAUGAGAACCUCCUUUGCAUUCCCCCAUGCACAUCUUCUGAAGGAUGUACUACAGAGAGGGACAGGAUGGCAUUUCCUAGCUUUCAUCAACAUAGAUCACUGUACCAGAGCAGCCCUUUGUUUUGUAAUAGCAAUGAUAACAUUGGGCAUAUACCUCCUGUUUCCAAUAAAGAGUCCUCGUUGCAUGGCCCAGAACCGAGCACAGCUGAGGCACAGGCUUCGCCUGACAUUCCCAUUUUGCAUCACUCUGGACAGGGCAGGGAAAGCACUUACAGUGACCCUGGCUACUGCAGGGGAGAUACAUUCCCCAAAGGCUGUUGGCACCAUAUAUUCAAUCCCUCAGCACCAGCAGACACAGGUCAGUGACAAGACAGGUGAAAGAAUAAGGCCUGAGGUCAGUAGAUGUCCAGUACAGCCACUGAAGCUGCCUGCUUCCAGGAGCUGAGGCUGCCGCUCUUAAGGAAACAAAACUCCUGCCUGGUAGUAUACAUCUUCAGUUAUCACACAAAAAAUUUUAAAGCCAAACAACAAUCACCUAGCCAAGUGUUUAGGGUGGAAAAAUAUCAAAAAUCAAGAUGAGACGGACAUGGUAUGUCUCCUGCCUUGAAUUCCUGGGAAUGUUUGUUGGUGGCAUGCCUGGUUAUGGCGUGCUGGUUGGACACAGGGCCAGGACCGUGCUGUUCAUCUACCAGCCUGAUCCCCAUCCUUCCUUUGGCUGAAGGAGAUGCAGGUUAAGCCUGGGUGGGACAACUGUCAGGUAUUAGGAAAGAUCACUUACGCCCACAGGUCACUUCCCCACCAAGGCGUACCUUGUUCCAGGGGUGUUACAGCCCUCCCCAGUUGUGUGGGACCUCAAGGGGGUUGAGAAAGCCCAUGGAGCAAAUAAGGUGAAUGGCACCAAACUUUCCAGGGGAAUCAAUUUUGGUGAAUGUUGCCCACCUAUAAUUCAGAGGCACUCUUUGCAGUGAGGCAGUGCAGGCAGGCAGAGCAGUGUUCAUGUCAGAAUGGUGCAGGUCCUUUUGCUGUGCUACAGCUGAAGCCCAUAACGUGGAGAAAGAGAACCUCAGUCACAGGGCUGAGCAGGCAGGGUCAGAUCCUGCCACAGUUUUGUCUCAUAACUAGACAGACCCCAUACUUUUCAAGUUGCAGAACUUAAGCUUUUUGCAUAUCAGCUUUACAAAUGCUAGUUAGUGGUUUUGCCACUUUUCAUCUAUUAAACUUCUUGGGUUUAUCCAUGUUCCAUCCGGAGUUCAAUCCAUUAAACCCUAAUUUUUCUGCCCUUCCUCACUUGUAAGUGGAAGAGGUCACCUUCACAGAGGCUGGUUCAGGGGAGAGUGGUAGUAGCCAUGGAGUGCCCUGUCCAGUGACGUCUCAAAUGAAAGAUAGGAUGGCUCUGAAAAGCAUGAUAAGUCUUUGAAAAUUAAGAUAAUACCAAUGCAGGCCCGUACCUGCUGCUAGCGUGUGAGAUUCAGAAGUGCUGCUGCUGAACAGCAUUUCCAUGCCAGGAACCGGCACCAGCUGCUAUGGAUGCAAAUCAGUCCUGCAGCUGAUCCUACAGCAUGGGUUCUGGACUCCUCCAGUUCUUGGACUCUUUCACCUCUGCAUCACCAGGAUUUCUUCAGCACGGUCAUUAACAGCUCACACAUACCUGCCACACCUUCCAGCACACGCCUCUGCAUUCCUCGUCCUGCUCCAAGAUCUGCUUUGUUCAUGGACUCAGCUCUUGGAGCUCACACUCACUGUGUGAUUCACAUGGGAUCAAGUUAUAUGAAGUGCUGGCAAGUUGUGGUCAUGAUGGAUUUAGCCCUGUCCUUGAAAGAACAGAUCCUGUCACAUAAGCAGUUGGGAUGUAUUUUACAACUUGCAUAGAGAAAAAAUGUACUGGAAAUACCUUAUCUGUAGUGACAAUCUCUGGACCUCAGUACACAUAGAAAUCCAGUGAUGUCCAUCGUUUGACAUGCAUUUGUCUGUUCUGUAACCUGUGACCAGAGUUCACAAGCUUUCUCCCAGCCUCUGCUCAGCUUAUAAAGCUUUUCCUGCCAUCUGUCACAUUUGCCAAGUCUCCAAUCCCUGAGUGCUGCCAGUAUUUACAGCUCUCAGAGCUGCUGGGGCAGACAGGUCUGUGUGCAGGGAUGCAGUACCUGGGAGCUCUGAUGGAAUAAGCUGAGGGCCCCAGCACCUGACCCUAGAGGGUGCCUGGACUGAAAAUGGCACAGGCCAGAUGGAAAAUGAUCCCACCUUCUGCCUUUCUCAUCAUUGUUCUUACACGGCACAGCAAACCAGAACCUUAGACCAGCACAACUCCUGUUGUUGCUUGCUCUGCAGUCUAGGAAAAAAAACAACCCAGCUCCUCAUUUCCACACAAGUGGGAACCAGUAGUGGUUGGCAAAUUUCUAGACUUGGCCAAGGGAAAGAUCUGAGUCCUUGCUUAAUAUUAAAAAACUCUGCUUAGGCUGGUUUCAUUUUCCAUCUUUUUAUUCUACUCUCCAAUUUUAUGUCUUUAUUUUUAAGGUUUACAUAGCAUCAACUGCUUCUCAAAUAGCUCUGUCCUUUAACUAGACUUACGAGCUGUUUACCUAACAUGUUACCUGAUAAUAAUUAAAAUUAUAAUGUGGUCUGGAGAAAAAAAAAACAAGAAGUGCUAUCUCGGAAGUGUUUGUGAAUUUUUACAGUAGACGAGGUGUCCCCAGGCUCUGGGUGGGAAAGAUGCCUCACAGAUUUCCCUCAGUUUCCCCAGCCCCCUUUCUGAACAUGCAGGUUGGUGUAUAGAUAGAGAACUUGUUCAUUGUAAAAAGGAUGUUGCCGACAGCUUCACUUCAGGCGCUGUGCAAAAGAGCUUCAUUUGGGAGAGCUGCCCAGGAGCGGGGAUGGAAACACAGUAGUCAGGGGCUCUGGGAAGAGAAGCCUCUGUUGACAUCAGCCUGAGGGUGUGCUGGUCAGGGGCUCUGCCAGCGUUCUCAAGGGCAGGAUGGCCUGGUGGUAGGAAAGGGCUGUUCUCUGGGACUGAUCCCAGCUCGCACCUGCUUUGAGGCUGUGGAUUCCUUUUGUUGGCUCCCUGCAAUACUGUUUUCAUUUAGUAAAUGACACACCUGGAGAGGUGAUAUUGCUCCUGACUGCCGCAGAAACUCUUCUGACCACACACCAGCACAAGGCUUUCCCACUCUCUGUUUUGUUUUCUACUCUGAGCUCUGCAGUCUCACACCCAUGCUAUGCUGGCAUACACAAAACUGCACUUUAAAAGUGACCACUCUGUGACCAUCACAAAAAUCCCUCCUUCUGGUAUUUUUGCUAGCAUCAGUCCCCAGAACACAGGCCUUAACAAAGGGAACAUAUUCCCUACUGAUGUGCCAGACAAAAGUUCAUGGUUUUGUCUUGCUGAAAAAGAAGUCUUGAUUAUUCAUGCAGUUCCCAAUGAGUCACUCCACACCCUUGAAUUAUUUCUGACAGAUGUGAAAUGCCUACUGCUGAAUUCCUACUCCAAGGAACCUUUUGCAUGACUGGUUUAUCAGUGAAUGUGAGCAGACUCAUGAUUUAGAGUGCUUCAUCAUCAUGGCAUGUGUAAGACUGAACACAAUGACUAGGGAAACCAGACCCACCUAUUUUUGGUCAUAGGUUCAGAGCCUCCAAAAUCUGCCAGCAGCCACACAAGAGGUGCUCACAGAGGGCUGGGUGUGUGCACAGGGAAACCCAGUGUACCCUGAAACUCUCAAAAAUGGGUUGGCUGAGCGCAUAUGAAUUCACUCUCAGGGAUGAUAUGGAGACUGAGGUGCUAACCUGAAGGCCAAUUUCUGUCACUUUGCACCUUCUUGCUUUCUCUUUGUUGCCAGGAGUGUUUUUCCCACUGGCUACAUACUCAGCUGUGGUGCAAGUCACAUGUGGUCCCUGUCCCUGUGCAAGCCAAGGAGAUCAGACCUCCCCAGCAGUGAGGGUAUGCCCAGCUUGCUGCCCUUAGCCUGCUGGGCUACCCCAACAUCCUGCAAGCUGGAAGUGCUCUCUGCUGUGUUUCCCUACAAGGGUGUUAGUGCACAUCUCUCUGUAUACUGUCAGAGGCACAUGCAAACUUUCAUCCACAGCCUGCAGAAGAUAGGUGAAAGCCAUUUCCCAAAGGCUCUAAGGCCUCUCCCAAAAUGAGGGGUAACCAGGCUGGCCUGAGUACAUUUCAUUUCUCCUACAAAAAAAAAAGGUCUUUCAGGGAACCUUCUCUGAACAAAAACCUCCUCCAAAGCGAGAAGGCAGCUGCAGUAAGGAUGCCAUGGGGGUACAGACAGCUCAGAGCUGCUGCUCUCAGCUGCACCCACUGUGCACCACGGACAGGAACACAGCCAGGGCAGCUCACCUGCUAACUCUGGGACAGCCUAACACCACGAGACUUAGUCUGGUCAGACAGAAUCGUUCCCCUGUACAUGCCAUGCAUGUAUCUCACAGGAAACAGAGAGGUUCCUUACCAAAGGGAGCUCUGAGCUCCCUCUCAGAAAGCCCCAGCAGCAAUCCCUGUUGGCACACCUGCAGUGAAAGGGCUGACUUGCUCUCACUGAUGGCUGCGUUUCAGCAGCAUUCCUGAGGAGGUGGCCAGGCCUGGCUCCAUAUGAGGUUAAGACAUUAUGUCUGCAAUGGGAGAUUUUAGGCUGAGAUUCCACAUUUUUCUCCUGCGGAAGUCUUGUCACUGCAAAACAAAACAACAGCACCCAGAGCCAUGUUAAGUCACUGUAGUGAUUCCAAAACCCAUUAUUCCUCUGGCUAAUUAAAAAAGCUCCAAACUUGCUCCAAACUGCAAAUUUUGUAUUUGCAUUGGUGAAACUCCCCUCUUCUUUUUAUCCACAGAUGAUCAUGAUACGUUUUUGUUCAACAAUUAAUCAUUUUUAUGUCAGGUUUGACCUGGUUUAGGGAUUUAAAUUGCAUGUCUCACUGAAGGGAAUCUCUAAUUGAGAUACAAAUCUGAGCACCUGUGAAAGACUUCAAGUUUUGUGCACAUGCCUAAGUACACGUUUUUAAAUGUAUGUUUUACUACUUUAAAGGCAUCUACACAGAAUGUCAGUGGAGGUUGAUCUGUCGUCACUGUCUUGUCAGCAGACCCACUGGAUUCUGACAGCUGAAUAGAGGCCAUUAAUUAAAACUGCCAGGUUUUGUCAGACCUUUGUCAGGCUCCCUAGAUACUUCAGUCUUAUGCAUUUCAAGCAUUCGCAGCAGGAACAAGACUAAAUCCUUCCAUUUCCCUGGUAAAUUCUAUGCCUCUCUUUCUAAGAAAGAGAAUUUAUUCCUGCAGCAAUAACCCUUUGCAUUUUGAAGCAGGGGUGUCAGUGCAACCUGGUUCUGCAUUGAGAAGUGCCAGGGUUAGUGACAACUCCUCAGAGGGAAGCUGUGCAAAAGUUCUGGCAUUGACUCCCCACCCUCAGGAAGGUUACAGGGGAUAAUGCCACAAGUUUUGCAGGAAUAAAGAGCUUUUUUCUUACUUUUCUAAGAAGGCUCUAUGCUAGAAUAAUCAAACAAAAAUUGGACCUGAGUUCAGGUCCCUCUGCUCCCACAGCUAUCCUCACUGGAGUCGGUAACUGCUGCUGGGAAGAUAUGGCUCUCAGAUAGUCAUCCUUAAAGGAGAAGUGUUAGUUUUGCAUGUAACUAUGACCUAUUUUUAAAAUUUUGGUAUAUAUACAAAUUUACUCUUUAUAGCACAUCCAUGGACCCUUUGGAAUGUAUGCGAUGCAGAGCCAACGGUCAACCCUUAGACUCAUGUUUAGAAAACACCAGAUUUGUUUGUUUUACAUGUUUGUAAUCGUCUCUGGCUAUAUUAUCAUUUAUGAAUUUCCGCAGUAGCUUUCAAAGUAAUGUUGGUUUGUCUGGAUAUUAAUAUUGCUAAAAAGCACUUAAAAUGUCAACUACAAGAACAGUUGUUUGCUCCUUCUCACUACUACAGCCUAACACAGAUGUGAAUCAUGAGCCAUAUUGCUAAUUGCUACAGCUUCUGAAAUCAAAGUAAAGCCAAAUAAUGUAUAGCCCAGCAUAGAUAUAUUCCCUAAAGACACAGAAGUGUGGUGCUGCAGCCCCCUAUUUUUUAGGAGAAAAGGAGGAUAUAUGGUAAGAGGCUAGUGUCAAAUUCUCCCUUCCUAGGUGGUGACUGUGUUUUUGUAUGGAUAAUCUGUUCUUUCCAUGCAUUGCUCAGAGGUGGAUCCUAUUCAGAAACCCCUUCCCUGCCCCGCUGGAUCAGAGGGUUAUUUCACCUUCAUGUAGAGCCCUGUUCAGCUAGAAUAUCACAGAUUUGCCUCUGGGACCAACCUGAGCUGCAACAGAGCACAUACAAGACAGGUUUUAGUUCAGACGGCACAUGCAGUUUGCACACUUGUGAGGUUUGCUGACAGCAGACUUCCAUGUGGAAAUCACACCAGUAAUGAAUAUAUUCCAAAGGGAAUUAAUGAAGCACUUUCCAUGUGGGUUCCCAUGCCUGCAGGGAGGCAGCUAUGGAGGUAGGUAUCUGGUGUCUCGGAUGUUCAAGAGGAUUUUUCCACAGCUCACCUGUGGACUCUGGUGGUGGGUUUAGAGACUCCAUUGCCCACCACACUGUAUCCUCUGAGGCAUUGUCUGCAGAAACUAACACAGUAGCCAGGUCCCUUCUCAUGGGCCUGCCCAUGGAAUGAGGGACUCUGGGCCACCUCUGGGCCAUCUCUCACAUCAGAGUCAGCCUACCUGAGGAGUUCACUUUUCUUCUUCAUGGAAUGGUGGCAUCUCAUAAGACCACUUGUUGUUAGCUUAUGCACAGCACGGUGCAGGUGUAAGGAAUAACCAUAAUGCUGAAUUACAAAGUGGUAUGAGUAAGAGCAUCUGCUAAUGUCUGCAGAUAUAUGAGGUCAGCAAGUUUACAUUCCUUCAGGUCAGAGAACAGAACAAGUGUGAUCUUAUCCCCAUGCCAGUUUCUCCACAUUGCAAAGUCACCGCAAGGCAUGACGACACACCAUUCCUGCUCUGGGAGCAAGGGACCGAGGGCUUGUCUGCACCGCCUGGGAGAACAAACUGUAAGGAACAAACAGGCACAAGCAAUCUCUAGGUAAGAAUGCAAAGGAGAACAAGCUCACUGGUUUUCCCACAGCAUGAAGCAGGCAGGCUCACAGUAUGUACUGCCAAAAACAUAUAAAUGUUCCCUAGUGAAAUCUGACUGUAUUUAUGAGGGACUGCAAGAUCUUAGUGCCCAUCCUCACUUGGUGUCUGCUCACCUGGGGAGAAGAAGACGUAUUCUAUUUAAAGUAAUGGAUCCAAUCUGGUGUCCAGCCCUGCCGAGCCAUGAGGGAGAUGACAGCAUGACAGAGGAAGUGCAUUUUCCUUCUCCUCACUUGUUAUUCUGUGUGGUCAUGUAUUAAUUCUUAAACUUAACUCUUUUAAUUAUUUUUAUGAACCUUACUGAUGUCACUCUGAAUAUUACUGUUAUCUUUAUAAAUACACAACACCCUUUCUCUAGAAAUUUUAGCCAUCCAGCCAACAUGCCCUAUGACUUUGAAAUCAGUACAGAAAAUUUAUCAACAGAAUUGAAAAUAAAACUAAAUUUAGGAUGAAAGCUAUACCUUAUACCCUCAAGGCUUAUAAAUUUAGUCUUGUCCAAUGUAUGAGUGCAUGUCCCCAAAAUUAAUAUAAUUCUGAAAGUUUCAUAUGUUUGUCAGACAGAACCAGACAAUUUUAGAGGCAUAUGUAUGUGUGCAAAACAAAGUUAUGGUUACAAAGGCACAUCCUGGAUUACAGAAAAUGUCAUAUCAUACAGAGAUUUCCAUAAGGAUAGGAAUUGCUCAGGAUUGGCAUGGGUCAAGCAUAACUUUAAAUGCUAUUCAUUGGGCAAUACCCGAAGGAUCAGACUCCAUCUUGAACACCUUUGCUCACUGUAAACUACACAGUACCUAGAUAAGAGCUGAAUACAUAAUAACCAGAUUUUUAAAUUGAUGGCCAAACCCAAACACCUACAAGUGACUGCAGCUAUUGAGUAACAAAGAAAGAAGUCAAUUUCUGAAGACCUACUUGGAUAACACAAUUAUUCUUUUUGAUGCAUAAAACUUGAAUAGGGCUCUGGGAAUUAGAAAUAUAAAAAUAAUGUCGAUGAUGAAUUUAAAAUGUUCCCCAAACAAGGAAUUAAGGAAGUCUUGGGAGAGGUCUUGUGGUGAACUUGAAUCUUUUCACAGUUUUUAAUUCUAAGUUUUUUUCAUCAUCUCCAGUGGUUACUUCGCAACUGCUGUGGGCUAUUGGAUAACCCAUCUGGGCAGCACACAGCUCCUGCCACAGGCCAGGAUCCCAAAACUGCAUGUGCAGCAUCUGUCAUCCUGGCCCUGCCUAUGCUGCUCCUAUUUUAUAACUGCAGACCUCAAACAAUGAACAAUGCUUGAUAGUCAUCAACCUGAUUUCAAAAAUGGAGUAACUGUGAUGUAAUGAGAUGAAGAAACUCACUCGAUACCAUUGAAUCAAUUGAUGUCCAUACAAGGAUUAGACACAUUUCCUCAUUCCUGGUGCUGUUUGUAACCUACCACAAAAGAACACUAAACCCACUUCUUAUGGCCAUUCUCCAUGCUUCAACAGACCAUGGCAUCAAAGGACUAGGCAAUAAAUCUUCACUUCUCACAGUUUGUUUUUUUUUUAAAGAACGUCUGUUAUGAGAGAAAACAGGGCUUCAGCAGCUGCAGGAAAGAGCCCUCACUGUGCAUUCUUUCACCGUGUAGUUCCUCUCACAUUCUGCCUUUCUGUUCUCUCACUGUGCUCCUGAAGAACCCUGAGUCCAAUCAAGUGUUAAGGCCUGCAGUACCAUUGCUAUAGAUCAGAUUCUGAUCACUUUAUUCAUUAACAAAAGGGUUUCCUUUUGUUAGUGUGUGAACCAGCAUUCUGUCUAGUGAGGUUCCUUAUAGACCAGAACGUCACUGUGCUAUACAGUACCCAGCUUUGUCUGCUCUGGAUUUGCAGAUCCCCAAAUGUCUUAAUUUACCAUGUACUACUCCCUAUAAACAUAGCUGCAAAAAUAAGGGAUUGUCCUGAAGUCACGAUCCUACCAGAAGCAUCCUGUUAUAAAGCUUUUUCUUUCACAGCCGAGUGGGCCAGUGCCAGUAACCCCUGCAGCAGUGUGCCCAGGUAGAACAAGGGCCAGCAGACACUACCAGGGUGUGGGUUUCAUUUCAGCAAGAGGAGCCUGAAAAAUGUUAAGUCUAAUUAUUUACAAAGUGAAAACAGGGUUACAGGGAUCCUACCUGCAUGCAACUGUCUAUGAGUCAUGGGAGGAAGUAAUCCAUGGUCCACAUUCUACAGGGAAAAGCCAUAUGGACUUGUCACUUGGGGUUCUUUGUACAGAAUGCAGGUCCCUGUCAGGUUCCUGUCACUGGCUCUAUUUCACAUCCCACAGCUUGUCUUUGGGAGCAAAAUUCCAUAUCUACCCAGUUCUACCUAAACUGGUUUUGGUUAUGCUGAUGUGACUUAAAUGCACACUCUGAUGUCAAACCCCUUCCAAUGUGUGGCAGACAGCAGGCUCUGGCUUGCAGUCCUCCAAUUGCUGUGCUCGAGAGCUUUGAUGACCACCAGCUCUGGGGAGCCACUGCAGCUCCAUGGCAGCCAGCAGCACUGACUGUCCACAGAAUAUCUUACACUGUGAAGCCAGCACACUCCUUCCUGCCAACACAUGUGCAAAGGGGGAAGCAGAAACGAGAAAGCAAAUGCAAUAGGGAAAGAUAUAAACUGAAAAUGUGGGAGGGAACUGAAAGCAUCUCUCUUCUCCUUGCACAACUUCAGCUCCAGCUUUCCAAGCUUCUGCUGUGCAUCACCUCUUCUACAUGCAGAACAGAACCUUGCUUCCCUUGUCUGAGAACACAUGAAGAAGUACAGGUUCAAAAGUCCUUCAGUCAUUUAACACUCAAAAUCACUGUUCACCCCAUAUCCUACAUGGUACCAAUUCAUCUGCAAAAACAGAGAUGCAGAAACAACAGACUAGUGCAACAUGCAUCAUACACUCCAAAAUAUGCUCAAGAGAGCUUACACAGUGCACUGCUCAGUGUUCACAGGAGUAAGCAGAAGAUCAAGAAACCCUAGAUUUUACUUUGGGCACUGACUUGGUCUGAAACUUUAAGUGAAUAAUUUCCAGUUUAGGUUUCAGUUUUACUGCCUGAAAAAAAAUUGGAGAUAUUAUUUAUAAAGCUUGGAGAACUUCCACAAAAUUUGCCUAAAAUCCACCCGUUAAUUACAUUUCAACAGAAGCUGAGAUGUGUCUGUGUACCCUUCACAGAAGCAGCACUCCAGAAACAGUUCAUGGUACAGAAGAGCUGGCAUAUUUCUUUUAACAAUGGGAUGAAUAAUGGUGUUGAAGGCCUGGUUCUGGGAAGUACACUGGAAGAAAACGGGUAUUUCUUUAGGCAUCAUGCUAUGGGAAAAGAUAUUUAUAUAUGUCAGAGUUCUUGAAAAGAGCAAUUUCAAAUAAUUUCAAAUUCUGUGUGUACUGCCAUGCUAGUCUGAACAUCAUGCCUGCAUGCACAGAUUUAACUUUAAGAAAAAAACCUACCCCCUUCCUGCUACUUGUGUGUACAUUGGUAUUGCUUAACCUUCACAUUCUUAAAAAGCUCGCCGUGAGCCUUCUCACAUGCUAAAUCUAUCCUACUAGGUAUUUACUUACCAUUAUAAAAGUCUUUUACCACAUGAGUAAACACAGAAAUAUUUACACAGGUUAACUGUGAUAUUGGUCUACAUAGAAUAAAUAAAUAAUACACUGUUCUGUAUUUCAGCACCCUGUUUCCACAUCAUUUUUCUUCCUCUGACUUGUUCUGACCUAUGUGUACUCCCAAAGACCUCACUGAUGUGAUCCCCUGCCAGCCAGAGUGGGCUGUGACUGGGCAGGCUCACCCUGAGUAUCACCUCUGACUUAGUGAGGCACAGUAUCACCAUCAGACCGCAAAUUAGGCCCUGGCUGUCUUGUUGCAGGAGCUGCUUGCCACAGUCCCCCUCAGCCAGGUAGAGAAGAAUAGGAACAUGCCCACCACCCCAGUCUCCACCUCUGAGAGUGAUAUUUUCUCAGAGCCUACAUCCUUUCCUUCAGCAAACUUCCACUUACAGCUCACACCUUGUGCCCAGCUGGUUUUGCAUCAGUUCACACACGCCAGCAAUCAGCUCGCUAGCAAUGAGGGCUAUUGGGGAUGGGCCACACAACUCACAAGCAAACAUCCCCACCACAGAAUCUGACACCUGGGGGGACUGCAGCAGACCUGCUUUCAGAAUUGUGUUCCAUCCCCUGUAGAGCACCGUGCCACCUGCCAGCCGGUUACAGGACAAUGUUGACCUCAGCUAUUGACUAUGGCCUUUGUUAUGGGCACCAGAUGAGACGGAAAAAAGUCAGCUCCGAGUUAAUUUGAUAGAGAAAUGUCCUGAAACUUAAAAAACACAGCACAUCUUUGAUCUAGACAGUGCUCAAUUCAUAGUAAGAUCUGUAAUCUUCUGAGUACCUCACUGAGGGGAGAAGGUGAGGUGGCUUUUUUAUGGGCAGCAUAACGCAACCAAAAGACCAGGAAAAUCACAAAAAACCUUCUUCCGUUCUCCUUCAGCUGAUCUUUUUUUUGUAUGACUGCAUCAUUUAAAACUGUUUUAUGACUUAAAACUGAAUAAACACCAAAACCUCCUAGAGUGGAGAGACCACAACAAAACUGCUUACCAGCUGAAUUAGUCAUAAUGCCCACUGCUACGUGGUGCUGGAGUGAGUUAUCUACGGAGUGAGUAUCAGCUAGGACAAGCACGAUUGUCCAUGGAGGGAAAUCUACACCACUUGUGGUGUUCUAUAAUCAAACCUUGUCUGACUAAUACUUUAGUAGAGCAGAUGACUUUUUUUUUCCAUUUUCUAACAUUAUGUAAAAACUGAAAAAGAAAACAAGUGAAGAAUAGAGGUCAAAUUUGUGCUGACCUGGAACAGGGUUAUUCAAGAGGUAGAACAAGACCAAAAGCACUUUAGAGGCAAUCUGAUGGGGGCCAUGCUUAUUUAUGUGACUUGAAAUUGUUAUUUUCCUAAAGAACACGGAAGAAAAGGUGAACACAAAAAGGUGAAUAGACAAGUGUAAAAUUUACUACUUCCGAGAAAAAUAAUUCAUAUACUUUCACAGAGUAAAUCUCCUUACAGAUAUUUGAUAAUAUACUCCAUAAUAAAUGCCAAGUAUCUCAUUUUGUUGGCGUGGCCCAGUCUUAAAUGGAUGCAGAUUUUCUUCACAGGUUUGUCACCACAGUGUAGAAGUGACAGGUACUCUUGCAGUUCACUGCACUUAGAGAGGGAUUCACCUCUGGAUUUUCUACUAUUUUUCUGAACCAUGUUUGGUUUUAGUAUAAACAUAUCUGACAUAUUUUCCUAGUAUGUGUCUGAAUACUAAAAGAACCAGUCACAACAACCUGAUGCCUGCAGCUCCAGGCAGAUUCAGAGUGAUUUUUAAUCCCUGUGCCAUCCCCUGCCAGAAUCAAACCAUAGCACAUGCCACAGCACGGCAACAGUGAGAAUACAUGAUCGCCACUUCAGCUCCAGCAACAGUUACUGCAUGUGUAAUGUUUGAAUGCUCUGGUUGUUUGUCCACCUUAAUUUCAGAUACAAUUAGAAACUGCUUGAGAAUUCCAAAGGCUCUGCUCCUAGUCUAGGCUUAAGUUAAAUCAUUGGCAAUGCCUGCACUUGACUGGUAUUUUAAUGGAUCUAUGGGUAGAAAGUGGUUAGAAACCGCUUCCUCAUGGUAAGAGACAUCGCUCAAACUUGGUAAGUGCUUGCUGACGCCUGUUUCCAAACUGGAUUUUGAUGGGAAUUCUGCUUAAACAAUGAUUUCAAACUCAAUUCCUGUAUCUCAUGUAUGCCUGACACUACUAAUUUCAGUUACCCAAUUCCAUACAUUUUUAAGAGACAGCAAUACAACAUCAAGACUGAAUUCCACAUGAUAUUUGCACUUCUCAGUAAAUUUAUCCACAAAUAUAGAAGUCACAGUGUGCUUCUAAUUUUAGAAUUAAUACAGACUAAAAAACCAUGUGAGAAUUGAACUUUUUGAUGUUGCAGAACUACUUUUUUUUGUAGCAUCGAUUAAAGUUUUUCCUAGCAGAAACUUGUUUCCUUUUUAUGGCUUGGUAUGUCAUGCUACAGCAAAAGAGCAACUUCCUUUCUGGAAAAGGAAGGGCAGCAAAUAAUUUUGUUAUGCAUCAAUAUAGAAAUGUUACUAAUAAAAUGGCUUAGCCCUUAACUUUGUCUACUACAGAAUGGUGACCACUAAGGAAAAAUAUUUUCAGUGAUAGAGGUUUGGGAAGCCAGAAACCCAGUUUUGUUUUCCAUGUUCUUAGCACAUUGCUAUUUGCUUUUUGCAACCAUUAAUGUAAGGUAAAUUCCAUUGAUAUAAAUAGGAUAUAGAAUUAGCAGGUGUACCUGAGACUCACUGCAUGGUUAAAUAUAACCCUGUCAAGCAGAAGGGGAAACAACAGUUGCUUGUUAGAAUCAACUGAAAGAAGAUGCCUGCCUUUGUCCAGUGGAACAGUUUGGUCUGACACUAAUGAGCUCUGAAGGUGACUCCACACUUUUCUUACUGGGAGGACUCUCAUGAGCUGGGAAGAGAUAGUUCUUUCUGACAAAUAUUUUCUCCAUUCUCUCAUGUAAUGUACUUGCUGACGAUCACAAGAGCCAGUGUCAAAUGGACUCACAUGCACUAUCUUGUGACAUCAGUUACAAAAAAAAAAACCAGUUACCACUUCUCCAAACAGCAUCUUAAAUAUAAAUCUUGUUUUAGAACAACUACAAGUGUUAAUGGGUGGGGGAACUGCUAGACAACUAACUUAGGAUCCAGUUCUGGUAGUGUAAAGGUGAAAUACUGGGGGUUUAUGGGAUAAACCCAUAAAUGCUGUGCCAGACAGUGCUUUUGUGCUCACCUUUUGAUUGGGCUCUGGAUAAAAGCCUGUUAGGAGUUCUCCAACAGGAGACCAUCUGAGAUGCUCUGAGAUCCAUUGCUGCUGUUCUGGGAAUGGCAGUAGCUAACAAAAAUAGGCUUUUUACUGCAUCAGAGACAAAAGGAACAGCAGCAGUGGCAGUAACAGCAGGGCAGGUACGUCAAGAAAGGGCAGACUCCCCCAGGUGCAAGCUACCUGGACCUGGGUGCUCAAGAAGCCUUGAUGUUGCCUGAGCAGUGCACACCUUGUGCCAAAGCCAGUGCAGUCACACUGACCUCCUGAUUCUGAUACCACUGCCCAUCUGUACUUCCAGGCCUCUCUACUGAUGUCACAAGGACAUUUGGUCAGCUGCAGCCCCGGGAGACAGGAGACAUGUGUCUGGGUGGCCAGCUGUGCACUGCCCAGGUUAAAUGAAACCUGAUCUGGAUUCCACUUGAUCAUAAGACUGGAAUGCUGAAAAUGCUGUAAUCUAUUUAUACAUCGAAUUGAAGAAACAUUGCAUGUCUUUGAAUUUCACUGCAUUCCAGUGUAUUAACUAAAUAGCAACAGCUUACAAACUGUUUCACGUUCAGACUGAGAAAGAAAAGACAGACCAACCUGACUUAUUUAUCCUAAAGCCAGGAUUGAUUUCCUGGUUUUAAAACUAUGGCCCAAACCCAAGCCUGCUCUGUGCCUUCCAUAAAAGCUGUGUUCUUGCAGCAGUAAUUCAUCACUAGUGCCAAAACAUGGUAGUUGCCUUAUGAAGAUUUCCAAAUCCACAGUUCUUUUUCAGCAUCAAGAACAUACUACAACCCCAAACUAGAUUUGCAGCUCAGAUUUUGUUCAUACUUCUCUUCCCUCUGCCUCUAAACCACUAAUGGUUCAAAAUACAGCAGACAGCAAGGCUGAGAACAACUGUGUUAAUAAGAGCAGCCAAAUCACACAGAUGAAAACCAUAAAGGGGCUUAUAUAGCCCAGAAGGUAUGGGCAGUAACUCAUCUACCAACAGACCACCUCAGACCCCCCUAGUGAAACAGCAGUCUCCAGCUCCACAGAACGCUGUCAUUUCCCUCAAUUGUUUACAGAAUCCUUCAGGUGUGCACAGUGGUGUUUCACACAUUAUUUUGACGAGAGGAACUACUCCUAUUCAAACACCACAACUGGGAGCAGCAGCACAAGAUCUACAGAAAAAGCAAAGGUGCUCAUCAUGAAGAAGAGCAUAAUAUGCUAAAGGCCUGUCUGUUGAUCUGUACAAAUGUACGUGCUAGAUUUUAACAUCUCUCAGUGAAGUAAAACACAGCUGCCAUUGACAUUUGAUGGGUUUUGCCAUUGACUUGAAAGGGGUCAGGAUCAGGCUAACAACAGCUGAUGGUAUUUCAUAACAUUUAUUCAUUUCUGCUCACACUUUCAAUGUGUUUCAAUGUGUGAAACAGUGUCCAUUUGUUCUCAGUUGUCAUUCCUAUAAUUUUUUUCAUUACUUGUUGGAUUUAGUGCCUAUUAUUUUCCAUGUAGAAUACUAUGAACACUACAAAGGCAAAAAGAGCAAUUUUUUUAGAGUCAGGGGAGAGGAAAAUUCUGUGCUCUUUGUCACAUGAAACUAUAAGAAGAGCCUGAAGCUAAAUACUGCAAAUACUAUUCAUGGUUCUCUGGAUAGUUAGUGGCCCUUAUAAAUGCAAAAAUCCCAGUUACACAUUCAAAUAACUGCCACUGAAACCUGCAUGGGGAUCCUCCUAGUGAAGUGUGUAAUGGAGAAGGUGACAGAGAGAGUGGGGAAGAAUUACCCAAACCUCUGUCAAGCAACACAGGAGCACUAAGAAGGAGCCUGCUGCUCUUCCACUGCCUGGUCCAUCUGUCCUGUCCAGAUCUUAAAAACCAGGCACAUGGACACCAGAGGGUCCCACAGUGCUGGUGCUCACACACACACAAACAGGAGGCACGUGGGAAUUCCUUUUAACUAACUGUGGCAAAUGUUUUUCUUGAAGGAAAAAAGGGAAUAUGUACAUGCUUGACACUUAAUAAAAAUAUCAGUAUGUUUGUGCCCAACAUAGUGGAAUAU